UGCAAGUCGAACGGUAGAGGGGGCAACCCCUUGAGAGUGGCGAACGGGUGAGUAAUAUAUCGGAACGUGCCCAGUCGUGGGGGAUAACGUAGUGAAAAUUACGCUAAUACCGCAUACGAUCUAAGGAUGAAAGCGGGGGAUCGCAAGACCUCGCGCGACUGGAGCGGCCGAUAUCAGAUUAGGUAGUUGGUAGGGUAAAGGCCUACCAAGCCAACGAUCUGUAGCUGGUCUGAGAGGACGACCAGCCACACUGGAACUGAGACACGGUCCAGACUCCUACGGGAGGCAGCAGUGGGGAAUUUUGGACAAUGGGCGAAAGCCUGAUCCAGCCAUUCCGCGUGCAGGAUGAAGGCCCUCGGGUUGUAAACUGCUUUUGUACAGAACGAAAGAGUUUCUAUUAAUACUAGGAGCUCAUGACGGUACUGUAAGAAUAAGCACCGGCUAACUACGUGCCAGCAGCCGCGGUAAUACGUAGGGUGCAAGCGUUAAUCGGAAUUACUGGGCGUAAAGCGUGCGCAGGCGGUUAUAUAAGUCAGAUGUGAAAUCCCCGGGCUCAACCUGGGAACUGCAUUUGAGACUGUAUAGCUAGAGUACGGUAGAGGGGGAUGGAAUUCCGCGUGUAGCAGUGAAAUGCGUAGAUAUGCGGAGGAACACCGAUGGCGAAGGCAAUCCCCUGGACCUGUACUGACGCUUAUGCACGAAAGCGUGGGGAGCAAACAGGAUUAGAUACCCUGGUAGUCCACGCCCUAAACGAUGUCAACUGGUUGUUGGGUCUUAACUGACUCAGUAACGAAGCUAACGCGUGAAGUUGACCGCCUGGGGAGUACGGCCGCUAGGUUGAAACUCAAAGGAAUUGACGGG
rnacentral:rRNA from 1 species